CGGGGGCGGCGCCCUGAGGGCCCGCGGUCACUUCCGCGAGCGACAGGGACCCCUGCAGUCUUCUCAGGCGUCCUCUGUGACGUCGGCCUCUUGGGUGCACCCGGAGCCGCCUGCACUGUCCGUGACCAUUCCAGGCGGAGCCACUUUGGGGAGCAAGUAGACGCCUGGGACUGCGCCCACCUGAGUACACGGGGUAGAGGGGCUGGACCCUACCCAGAGAGUACCGGCAGCUGACCUUCUUGGGUUCCCCUUCCCCGUCUCCAGGGCUGUACAGGGCUGCUGUCUCCGUGGGCACCACAAGGGAUCUGCAGCAGGCCUAGCCCCAGUUUCAGGAAGGGAGACGUGGCAGGCAGACCCUGUUCCAGCCUGUCCUUGGAGCCUACAGAGCUCAGCUGAGCCCCGGGCCUCAGGUCCCCAUGCUGCAGGGUUGAGAAGCUGCUACCUUUGCUGAGGAGUGGAUGUGGCCUGACACCUCUCAUCGGUCCCCAGCCUAUGUUUUCUUGGGGGAACCUGGGCCUGAUACAGCCACAAAGGGAAGGCUCUGAAUUUUGUCAGGUGGCCUCACAGGAGGAAGAGGUGUGUUCCACUGGGAAGCAUAUGGG
ensembl:lncRNA